rnacentral:rRNA from 1 species
AUUGAACGCUGGCGGCAUGCCUUACACAUGCAAGUCGAACGGCAGCACGGGAGCAAUCCUGGUGGCGAGUGGCGAACGGGUGAGUAAUAUAUCGGAACGUGCCCAGUCGUGGGGAUAACGUAGCGAAAGUUACGCUAAUACCGCAUACGAUCUAAGGAUGAAAGCGGGGGAUCGCAAGACCUCGCGCGAUUGGAGCGGCCGAUAUCAGAUUAGGUAGUUGGUGGGGUAAAGGCUCACCAAGCCAACGAUCUGUAGCUGGUCUGAGAGGACGACCAGCCACACUGGAACUGAGACACGGUCCAGACUCCUACGGGAGGCAGCAGUGGGGAAUUUUGGACAAUGGACGCAAGUCUGAUCCAGCCAUUCCGCGUGCAGGAUGAAGGCCCUCGGGUUGUAAACUGCUUUGUACAGGAAGAAACACUACUUCGUGAAGUAGCUUGACGGUACUGUAAGAAUAAGGAUCGGCUAACUCCGUGCCAGCAG